GGCCUUGUAGUCUAGAGGUACGAUACUUGCUUUGGGUGCUCUCAAUUGCAAGUGGCCUGGGUUCGAUUCCCAGCAAGGCCC
rfam:Pisolithus microcarpus 441 unplaced genomic scaffold scaffold_54, whole genome shotgun sequence.